ensembl:lncRNA
GGCCUGCAGGGGGAGGUAGGGGACGGUUGGGAACACACCGGAUCGGCUGGGGGGGUUGGACCUGGUUGCGAGCAGGUGCCCGCGAUCAGGUCCAAUCAGGGAAUGUGUAUUUAUGUGCCUGCUUUGUUUUGCAGUAGGAGUGAGAUGUUACCUGUGAGAGGUGUUACCUGUGAGAGAGAGAGAGAUCCGGAGACUGUGCUCAACCUCGACGGAACCAGGAAGCGCAUGGAUCGACCGUUAUGAUUUAGUUUGGAGCAUGUCUUAUUUUUGCUUUACAAAAUAAACAAGUUCCCAACUAAGGGACGAAGGAAACUGGUCUCCCCGCGCUCAUUAACCUGCUACAGUGGAGCCCAAAGUGGGGCGAGCGCAUUGAAAAUGGACCAGUCCCCAUUGGGAAACGUGCUCGGGCACUUGGCCCAGAUGGCGGAGCGACAAAGCCAGUUACACCACGCGCAGAACGAGGUGCUUACGGAACUGGUCCAAUCCUUGGCCGCCGAUUGGGCCAUGCUCCGGGAGCUCCUCAACUCCAGCGGACGCGGCGAGGGACCCCGGGAGGCUACUCCCAACAUUCACAUCCCGAAAAUGGGGGAGACGGACGACGCAGAGGCCUUUCUGGGGACCUUCCAGGGGGUGGCCGAGGUCUCGGGGUGGCCUCGCCAGGAGUGGGCGCACCGUCUCCUACCGCGCCUGACGGGCGAGGCGCAGCUAGCCACCCACAGUCUGCUGGUCGGGGCUCAGCGGGACUAUGACGCCAUCACCCGAGCCAUCCGGGAUCGGCUGGGCCUCUACCCGGAGGAACAUCGGCGGCGGUUCCGGGCGCUGGCCUUCGGCGAGGGGGACCGGCCCUUCGCCUUCGCCCAACAGCUAAGGGACCAGGCCAGGAGAUGGCUGGUUCCAGACCGGGAAUACAGCGGAGGAGGUGGUGGAGCAGGUCGCCUUGGAGAGAUUUGUGGAGGGGCUGCCGGCGAGGACAUCCGCCUGGGUCCGAUAUCACCGGCCCGAGAGUGUCUCCGCUGCGGUCGUCCUAGCAGAGAGCUACCUGCCUCCACCAACGGCGAGCCAGCGACCGCCGGUAGCAGGCCCACGGGCCGGUGCGGCGGCCCUGCGGCGGGACAGAGCAACACCGGCACCAAGGGCGAGAGGGGGGGAGCCCGGUCCAGAGCGGGCACAUGAGUUGCUUCCCCCCCCCACUCCACAGACAGGAGUUCAGACGGCAGGGGAGGGGUGCUGACGUUGCGGGGCCUGGCCACCUCCGGCGGGAAUGCCCUAUGAUGGAGGUGGGUCAUGUCGUCCGCGUCAUCGGUGCCCCGUCUCCUCCCCACGGUCCCGGUGAGGCGUACCGAAUCCCGGUUUGGAUUCAGCGGGGUACGCACCAGGCGCUGUUGGACUCUGUGUAGGAGAGAGGUGUUACCUGUGAGAGAGAGAGAGAUCCGGAGACUGUGCUCAACCUCGACGGAACCAGGAAGCCCAUGGAUCGACCAUUACUAUUUAGUUUGGAGCAUGUCUUAUGUUUGCUUUACAAAAUAAACGAGUUCCCAACAAAGGGACGAAGGAAACUGGUCUCCCCGCGCUCAUUAUCCCCGCAAAAAAUAACUCCCUUCUCUUUGAGCAAACAUUUUUUGAAUAUUUGCCGGUUUGUUAUUUUUUGCUUUAAACAUUAAUUGUGCUAUUUAUUGUUCAAUUUAAUAUGAGUAUUUUUGACUGUAUGAAUAAUAAGUUUGUGUGAUCCCUACCAGCAUUGAAAGUGGUCCGUAUAGCUCUUUUCUGCAGAAUAAGCAGUGAAUGUAAUGUACUUUUGUAAUUAUUGCCGCAAACCUCUACACAGUAACUUAAAUAAGGUGAAACCAGUGAACAAUAGAGGAUGUGUAGUGAUUUAUGAUCCAGAACCUGUUUAGCUUUAAAUAAUUACUGCAAUGCUUCUUGACAUCUUAGAGUGUAUGUUUUAUGUGAGAUUUCCAGUUUAGUUUCUCAUCAAAUGUUACACCGAGGAAUUGUAUUUGACUAACUCAUUCAAUGUCUACGCCAUCAAUCGGUAUCUUUAUUUGUUCAUUUGUUCUGCAGAUUCCAAAUAACAUACAUUUUGUUUUGCUCAAGUUUAACGUUAAUUUAUUAAUAUCGAACCAUCAUUUUAUGAUGGUUCGAUAUUAUUCUCUUGAGUGAAACGAAAAUGUCUUCCAUCCAGUCUUUAAAAACCUCAAUAUUAGAGCCAGGUACCCUAUAAAAACAACUAAUGAUC